rnacentral:rRNA from 1 species
GAAUUUUGGAAAAUGGGCGAAAGCCUGAUCCAGCAAUGCCGCGUGCGGGAUGAAGGCCUUCGGGUUGUAAACUGCUUUUGUACGGAACGAAAAGCUUUGGGUUAAUAACCUGGAGUCAUGACGGUACCGUAAGAAUAAGCACCGGCGAACUACGUGCCGGCAGCCGCGGUAAGACGUAGGGGGCAGGCGGUAAUCGGCAGUACUGGGCGUAAAGCGUGCGCAGGUGGUUUUGUAAGACAGAGGUGAAAUCCCCGGGCUCAACCUGGGAACUGCCUUUGUGACUGCAAGGCUAGAGUACGGCAGAGGGGGGUGGAAUGCCGCGUGUAGCAGUGAAAUGCGUAGAUAUGCGGAGGAACACCGAUGGCGAAGGCAACCCCCUGGGCCUGUACUGACGCUCAUGCACGAAAGCGUGGGGAGCAAACAG